AGUGAACGCUGGCGGUAGGCCUAACACAUGCAAGUCGAACGGCAGCACAGAGGAGCUUGCUCCUUGGGUGGCGAGUGGCGGACGGGUGAGGAAUACAUCGGAAUCUACUCUGUCGUGGGGGAUAACGUAGGGAAACUUACGCUAAUACCGCAUACGACCUACGGGUGAAAGCAGGGGACCUUCGGACCUUGCGCGAUUGAAUGAGCCGAUGUCGGAUUAGCUAGCUGGCGGGGUAAAGGCCCACCAAGGCGACGAUCCGUAGCUGGUCUGAGAGGAUGAUCAGCCACACUGGAACUGAGACACGGUCCAGACUCCUACGGGAGGCAGCAGUGGGGAAUAUUGGACAAUGGGCGCAAGCCUGAUCCAGCCAUACCGCGUGGGUGAAGAAGGCCUUCGGGUUGUAAAGCCCUUUUGUUGGGAAAGAAAUCCAGCUGGCUAAUACCCGGUUGGGAUGACGGUACCCAAAGAAUAAGCACCGGCUAACUUCGUGCCAGCAGCCGCAGUAA
rnacentral:rRNA from 1 species